rnacentral:rRNA from 1 species
GAUGAACGCUGGCGGCGUGCUUAACACAUGCAAGUCGAACGGAAAGGCUCCUGCUUGCCGGGGUACUCGAGUGGCGAACGGGUGAGUAACACGUGGGUGAUCUGCCCUGCACUUCGGGAUAAGCCUGGGAAACUGGGGCUCAUACCGGAUAGGACGAUGGUUUGGAUGCCGUUGUGGAAAGAUUUUCGGUUUGGGAUUGGCUCGCGGCCUAUCAGCUUGUUGGUGGGGUAAUGGCUUACCAAGCCGUCGACGGGUAGACGGCCUGAGAGGGUAGACGGCCACAUUGGGACUGAGAGACGGCCCAGACUCCUACGGGAGGCAGCAGUGGGGAAUAUUACACAAUAGGCGCAAGCCUGAUGCAGCGACGCCGCGUGGGGGAUGACGGCCUUCGGGUGGUAAACUCCUGUCGCUAGGGACGAAGCGCAAGUGACGGUACCUGGAGAAGAAGCACCGGCUAACUACGUG